AUUGAACGCUGGCGGCAGGCCUAACACAUGCAAGUCGAACGAGUGGCGGACGGGUGAGUAAUGACUGGGAAUCUGCCCGAUGGAGGGGGUUAACUACCGGAAACGGUAGCUAAUACCGCAUACCAUCGGAUGUGCCCAGAUGGGAUUAGCUAGGAGGUGGGGCAACGGCUCACUUAGGCGACGAUCCCUAGUUGGGCUGAGAGGAUGACCAGCCACAUUGUAAUUGAGACACGGUCCAGACUCCUACGGGAGGCAGCAGUUGGGAAUAUGGCACAAUGGGCGCAAGCCUGAUGCAGCCAUGCCGCGUGUAUGAAGAAGGCCUUCGGGUUGUAAAGUACUGUCAGCGAGGAGGCGUUACUCGCAGAAGAAGCACCGGCUAACUCCGUGCCAGCCGCCGCGGUAAUUC
rnacentral:rRNA from 1 species